UACGUAGGGGGCAAGCGUUGUCCGGAUUUAUUGGGCGUAAAGAGCGUGUAGGCGGCCUGAAAGGUCAGCUGUGAAAACUCGAGGCUUAACCUCGAGACGUCGGUUGAAACCAUCUGGCUAGAGUCCGGAAGAGGAGUGUGGAAUUCCCGGUGUAGCGGUGAAAUGCGCAGAUAUCGGGAAGAACACCCGUGGCGAAGGGCGGCACUCUGGGACGGUACUGACGCUGAGACGCGAAAGCGUGGGAGCGAAC
rnacentral:rRNA from 1 species